AUGAGGCUGGGGGGUCUUCUCCUCUGCCUGCUCACAGCCCUACAAGGGGAGGGGGUCCUGGCCCAGGUGCAGCUGCAGGAGGCGGGCCCAGAACUGCUGAAGCCUCGCAGACCCUCUCCCUCACGUGUGCUCUCUCUGGUUACUCCAUCACCAGUGCUCACUCCUCCUGGGGCUGGAUCCGCCAACGCUCAGGGAAGGGGCUGCAGUGGAUGGGUUACGUUAGCUACAGUGGAAGCACAAGCUACAGCCCAAGUCUCAAGAGCCGCACCUCCAUCUCCAGAGACACAUCCAAGAGCCAGUCCUCCCUGCAGCUGAGCGCUGUGACCACCGAGGACACGGCCAUGUAUUACUGUGCAAGAGACGCAGUGACGGGAAGUCUGUGUGCAGCUGGUGCAGUCGGGGCUGAGCUGAGGAAGCCUGGGGCAUCAGUGAAGGUGUCCCGCACGGCUUCUGGAUACACCUUCAGCGACUACAACAUGCACUGGGUGUGA